GGGAGUUGAACUUUCCGUCGUAGUACACUGAAUGUUCAGUGGUGUUUUUCUAUUACAAGUUGGAUAUUUCUUAGUCUGCGUUUAUACACUGGAUUCAGUUCUUUGAAGUUUGUGUUAUCUUCGUUAUUGCCAAACAAGUGAGCGAGAGAGCCAGGGAUAGUGUUCUAUCCAUGGACUUGUGGAUUUAUUUGAAAUCACUUUAUAAACUGUUUGAAUCAAGCAUUCUGUAAUUUGUUGUGAAAGAUGAGUGAUACAGAAGCCACAGUUGUAGAAACACUCAACAUGAGUGACAAUUCAGUUCAAUCUACGUGCAGUGAUCUUCCAUCUGAUGUAAUGGUAAAAAGUGAGCCAUCAGACUGUGCAUAUGACCCGUCAGACUCACAAUAUGAUAUCACCUCACCUAGCCACUCUUCAUCAUCGUCGUCACCAGUAGUCAUUGCAGCCUCUGUAGUAUUGGCCAACACAGUACCGUUACCGAUGAAGUCUCCACCCCCAAAUUAUAAUAUGGCUUCACCACAGUCUGAUGAUAGUGAUAGCACCAGUGCUAAGAGACGCAAAGGGCCGCUACCGAGAACAGAUUUGGAAUUGUGUCUUGUUUGUGGUGAUAGGGCAUCAGGAUUCCAUUACAAUGCCCUUAGUUGUGAAGGAUGUAAAGGU
rnacentral:sRNA from 1 species